rnacentral:rRNA from 1 species
GUGUCAGCAGCCGCGGUAAUACGUAGGUGGCGAGCGUUAUCCGGAAUUACUGGGCGUAAAGCGCACGCAGGCGGCUCUUUAAGUCUGACGUGAAAGCUCCCGGCUUAACUGGGAGAGGACGUUAGAAACUGAAGGGCUUGAGGCGAUGAGAGGGGUGCGGAAUUCCCGGUGUAGUGGUGGAAUGCGUAGAUAUCGGGAGGAACACCAGUGGCGAAAGCGGCACCCUGGCAUUGACCUGACGCUCAGGUGCGAAAGCGUGGGGAGCGAACGGGAUUAGAUACCCCGGUAGUCCACGCCGUAAACGAUGAACACUAGGUGUGGGUGGAGUUGAAUCUAUCCGUGCCGAAGCUAACGCGCUAAGUGUUCCGCCUGGGGAGUACGGCCGCAAGGCUAAAACUUAAAGGAAUUGACGGGG